GAUUAACGCUGGCGGUGUGCUUUAUACAUGCAAGUCGAACGGUCCUUCGGGACAGUGGCAAACGGGUGAGUAACACGUGGGUAACCUACCCUGAAAUGGGGAAUAACUUGCCAAAGGUAGGCUAAUACCUCAUAAGCUCACGAGGUGCAAUUCCAAGUGAGAAAGAUUUAUCGUUUCAGGAGGGGCCUGCGGCUGAUUAGCUUGUUGGUGAGGUAAUGGCUCACCAAGGCUGUGAUCAGUAGCUGGACUGAGAGGUCGGUCAGCCACACUGGGACCUUAGACACGGCCCAGACUCCUACGGGAGGCAGCAGUAGGGAAUCUUCCGCAAUGGGCGCAAGCCUGACGGAGCGACACCGCGUGCAGGAUGACGGUCUUCGGAUUGUAAACUGCUUUUUGUGGGACGAAAAUUCGGACGGUACCACAAGAAUAAGCAUCGGCUAACUACGUG
rnacentral:rRNA from 1 species